rnacentral:rRNA from 1 species
CCUACGGGAGGCAGCAGUGGGGAAUAUUGCACAAUGGGGGAAACCCUGAUGCAGCGACGCCGCGUGAGUGAAGAAGUAUUUCGGUACGUAAAGCUCUAUCAGCAGGGAAGAAAAUGACGGUACCUGACUAAGAAGCCCCGGCUAACUACGUGCCAGCAGCCGCGGUAAUACGUAGGGGGCAAGCGUUAUCCGGAUUUACUGGGGGUAAAGGGAGCGUAGACGGCAGCGCAAGUCUGGAGUGAAAUCCCAUGGCUUAACCAUGGAACUGCUUUGGAAACUGUGCAGCUAGAGUGCAGGAGAGGGAAGCGGAAUUCCUAGUGUAGCGGUGAAAUGCGUAGAUAUUAGGAGGAACACCAGUGGCGAAGGCGGCUUACUGGACUGUAACUGACAUUGAGGCUCGAAAGCGUGGGGAGCAAACAGGAUUAGAUACCCCGGUAGUC